CCAUCCGUGUCUACAUACUCUUGUUGCUUUGGUAGGCCGUGGUCACCCACUGUGGGCUCUGCCUGCAUGCGCCUGCCAGAGGACCAAACUCUGAAUUUUAGUGAUGUCUGAGUACUAUAUAAUAGUUAAAACUUUCAACAACGGAUCUCUUGGUUCUGGCAUCGAUGAAGAACGCAGCGAAAUGCGAUAAGUAAUGUGAAUUGCAGAAUUCAGUGAAUCAUCGAAUCUUUGAACGCACAUUGCGCCCUGUGGUAUUCCGCAGGGCAUGCCUGUUCGAGCGUCAUUACAACCACAAGCUUAGCUUGGUCUUGGGGUCCGCAGUGCUGCGGCCCUAAAAAUUAGUGGCGGUGCCGAUAGGUUCUGAGCGUAGUAAUACUCCUCGCUAUAGAGCCUAUGGGUCACUAGGGCUUCAGUGUCCGCGCCAAAACCUCCCCUAUUUUUUAGGUUGACCUCGGAUCAGGUAGGGAUACCCGCUGAACUUAAGCAUAUCAAUAAGCGGA
rnacentral:rRNA from 1 species